rnacentral:lncRNA from 1 species
CAAGAACAAGGCAGAGUGGAACGGAGGACAGUGCCUGGCAGAUAGAAAGCAGAUAUAAAGUCAAGUCUCGAGUCUGUUCCACAUGGCCGCAGAUAGUGUUCCAAACAGCAAAGACUCUAGAGAAGAAAAAUACCAUCAAGUCAUUUAGUCAGCUGGACGGCAGGACCGGGUGUCUUGGAAGUCCUAGCCCUGAGGAAGAUUUGAGGUUAUGCAGCUUUCAAGAGGAAGGUAUUUUGUAUUUCCUGGGGAAGCUGCCAUCCCAGGAACUGAGAGUGGAUCAGAAGAUGUUUCAGGAUACUUACUUCUGAUCUCAUGGCGGGGCAUCACACCAGACCCAUUACAUGCAUGCUGGGAGAACAGAGCAACCUUCAAUCCCUAUACACGGGCUACUUAACCCUCUUGGUCUCCUCUUUCUGGCAGAAGGAGCACAGAGCAGCCAGGCGUGAGCUGUGAGAAGAUGAGGCAUCUGCAGAUGAAGUUCUGAUGCACCCACUCAUGGAGGCCAAGCUAUCCCUCCUGCAAGUCCUGCCCCGAUAAGGCUUCUCCCACCGGCUUCCCAUGGGCUUUCUGAGACUGUUUUCCAGAUGGGCUCAGGGGUCCCUCAAAUGAGGCAGCGUGGGGGAAAGACUGAAAGAACUCCGCAGGGUCACACAGAGUGCCUAGAGACCAAGGCACCAGCAUAAAGGCUACAUUUGUGAGGAGCAACAGAAAGACAGCCAAGCACUGAGGAGCAGGUGGAAGACCUGCUGGUCGUCUAACCUAUUGAUGACCCUCGAUGUGUUUAAAGAGGAAAAGAAGAUGCAUAUGAAGUCCCUGAGGAUCCUGGGAAAAAGUUGGAUGCUCUAGGAGUGGCCAGAGAGAAUACAGGAUGCACUUGGAACAUUUUGUACCAGAAAGCAAAAGAGAACCCCAAGAUUGAUAGAGCCAUGGCCAAAAGACCUACAUAGGAGCCAAUUCAAACUGCUCACACUGGCCAGACCUGGUGACCUGCGCAUCAAAAGCUAUGAUACUGACAGGGGAUGGGGAAGGGGCCCAAAGCUGCAUCAUUCAGUAAUAAUGUUCAUGAAAGAACAGAGGGCUAAGGAAAGUGUUUCUUUACAAGAAUUCUAGGUGAUACAUACAGAGUGGUUCUAUAAUACAAAACCUUAAUUUUCUAACCCACAGUAUUAUCAUUGGCAUAAGCAGGAGUCGUUAAUAGACGAUAGAGUCAGUAGGUGAAGAUUAAAAAGAUGUCUAUACAGGGACAGAGUGUUGCCCCACAAACUGCUUAUUAAUUAAAA